AGUGGCGGACGGGUGAGUAACACGUGAGAAUUUGCCUUUAGGAGGGGGAUAACAAUCGGAAACGAAUGCUAAUACCCCAUAUGCUUUUGAGUGAAAUGGAUUUAUCCGCCUAAAGAGAAGCUCGCGGCUGAUUAGCUUGUUGGUGAGGUAAGAGCUUACCAAGGCGACGAUCAGUAUCUGGUUUGAGAGGACGAUCAGACACACUGGAACUGAGACACGGUCCAGACUCCUACGGGAGGCAGCAGUGGGGAAUUUUCCGCAAUGGGCGAAAGCCUGACGGAGCAAUACCGCGUGAGGGAAGACUGCCUAUGGGUUGUAAACCUCUUUUUUCAGGGAGGAACAAAAUGACGUGUACCUGAAGAAUAAGCAUCGGCUAACUCCGUGCCAGCAGCCGCGGUAAGACGGAGGAUGCAAGUGUUAUCCGGAAUCACUGGGCGUAAAGCGUCUGUAGGUGGUUUAAUAAGUCAACUGUUAAAUCUUGAGGCUCAACUUCGAAAUCGCAGUCGAAACUAUUAGACUAGAGUAUAGUAGAGGUAAAGGGAAUUUCCAGUGGAGCGGUGAAAUGCGUAGAUAUUGGAAAGAACACCGAUGGCGAAAGCACUUUACUGGGCUAUUACUAACACUCAGAGACGAAAGCUAGGGUAGCAAAUGGGAUUAGAUACCCCAGUAGUCCUAGCCGUAAACUAUGGAUACUAGA
rnacentral:rRNA from 1 species